UGUAGAUCGAUCAGUGCGCACACCACAGACAAUCUUUGCCAUUAUACUAUGGGACAAUUUAGUUUUAAGAAAGUUAUAUAGACAAUACGCAUUUUAUGCAGAUAUAUAUUCCCCCCUCCCUCCCCCCACCCGUUUCAAUGUUGCGCCUAUGCCAAAAGACGUCUCGUUUGUGAUAUAUUAUUUUUUAUGACAGCAACAUUGAACAGGGGGCAUGGGGGAAACUGAACAGUAGCGGUGUUAAGACGUUUCACUAUUUGUCCCAUAGUUUCUGGCAAAGAUUGUAGCAAUCACCCUAUAAUUCUUGGGUGUCUAUAUUCCACUAUAAACAAACGUAAUCAUUGUCUAUCCUAUAUAUAGUCAGUUAUAUCGUAAUAAAGUAAAGCUAACAAAUUGUCAAUAAAUUAAAAAGACAGUUACGCUGAAAUAUGUUUACAGUAUAUGUUUAGUGUUUGAGGAUUGCGUCGUUG